CCCUUAGAUGUUCUGGGCCGCACGCGUGCUACACUGAGUUGAUCAGCGGGUCAGGUUGCGCGAAAGUGUUUCCUAAUCUUGAAAUCCGCUCGUGAUGGGGAUUGACGGUUGCAAUUUUCCGUCAUGAACGAGGAAUACCUUGUAAGCGCGGGUCAUCAUCCCGCGCUGAAUACGUCCCUGCCCUUUGUACACACCGCCCGUCGCUCCUACCGAUUGAGUGGUCCGGUGAGGCUUUGGGAUCUGAGCGGAAAGAGCGUUUCGCUGUUUCUGCUCGGAAAACUCAGUCGAACCUUAUCAUUUAGAGGAAGGAGAAGUCGUAACA
rnacentral:rRNA from 1 species